rnacentral:misc_RNA from 1 species
UUGUGGAGGAGGACGCCGAAGGUGGGGCUAAUGACUGGGGUGAAGUCGUAACAAGGUAGCCGUACCGGAAGGUGCGGCUGGAUCACCUCCUAACAGGGAGACAACAAAAUGUUUAAUAUUAUUAUUUUGUCACCUUAGGUCGAUCGGUAUCUCACGUUUUUAAUUUAUUAAAAAUUUCAUUUCCUAAGUUUUUCUAGGUCACACCCAUUAUUUUUCCUGGGCCAUUAGCUCAGGUGGUUAGAGCGCACCCCUGAUAAGGGUGAGGUCCCUGGUUCAAGUCCAGGAUGGCCCAUAUCUCUAUGUUGGGGGUAUAGCUCAGUUGGUAGAGCGCCUGCUUUGCAAGCAGGAUGUCAGCGGUUCGAGUCCGCUUACCUCCACUGAUUACCACCUCUUCCAUAACCGGUAGAAAGGAAAUGUUUUGAGUUGUGAUCAAAUUCUGAAAGAAUCUAGCUUCCUAAUGAAACCAUUAAGAUGCUGGAUUCAUUGAAUUAAAUUUCAUUGUUUUCAGAGAACCUUGACAACUGCAUAGAUUAUUUUUAAAGACAAUAAGCAUCUUUAAUGAUGCAGAUUUAUUAUUUGUGCGAAUGCAUUAAUAACAAUUCUAUUAAGCUGAUGCUUCAAAUUUGAAGUUAUUGGUCAAGCUACAA